rnacentral:rRNA from 1 species
AGGUUUAUUUUAAUAUGAAAGAAARGGGUAUUUUUAUUUAAGGUACUAUUAAGUUUCUUAGUUUCUAUUAAUUACUUAUGAAGAAUUAGUAUGUUAUUGACUGUAAAGGGGUAUAAGUUAGCURCAGCUAAGUAGAAGUGCUUUGUACCUUUUGUCUCAGGGUUUGUUAAAGUUUUAGAUUGAUUUUAGUUUCCCGAGAGAAAAUGAGCUACCUCUUUUAUCUUAAUUGUAUCAUAAAUUAGGGUUAUAGAGGGGUAGAAGUGAGAUGUUAACGUAUUUUCAGUUAGCUGGUUCUAGCAAAAAUUUUAGGUAGUAUAARCUAACUUCUUAGUUUGUGGUAAGUCUAUUAGGGUUAAGCUUAAUAUUCUAUUGUUAUAUUAGGGYUAUARGAGGUUUAGGGUAAGUUUAAGAGUUACUUUGUGUUUUAUAACAGAAUUAUARGGGUCAUUAUUAAUGUGUUAUGYUAGGGUCUUAUUAKUCUUUACUURUUAUUAACAAUGGYAAAAUUAGUAGAAKUUAUGCUAUUCAGUCUAUAAUGAAGUUUGGAUUAUAGUAUGRGGGRAUAAGGUACCAAUAAGGAACUCGGCAAAAKUUAUUCUCAACUGUUUAUCAAAAACAUUUCUUUAGGRAGAUAAACUAAGGUAAGUUCUGCCCCCUGAUUGUGGAUUAAAGGGCCGCAGUAGCCUGACUGUGCUAAGGUAGCAUAAUCAYUUGGUUUUUAAUUGAGAUCUGGAAUGAAUGGAUAAAUGAGAAUGGGCUGUCUWUUGGUAGUGUUUGAAUUUAAAYUCUUAGUAAAAAUGCUGGRAUGUGNUUGUGGGACGAUAAGACCCUAUAAAGCUUUAUUUAGGCYWUUUUAUGGGKUUUGACUACCUUAAGGUGUGUUUGAAUUGGACUGGGGUGGUURCUAAUUAACUUAGYKRGGGUUUGUUAGUUUUUGAUCCAYUAUUAGUGAAUUAAGAUUAAGUUACUUUAGGGAUAACAGUAUAAUAUGUUCAUGGAGCUCUAAUCGAAGAACAUGAUUGUUACCUCGAUGUUGAAUUAAUUUUAUUGUAAGGUGAAGAAGCUUUAUGAGUUAGUCUGUUCGACUAUUAAAUGGUUACAUGAUUUGAGUUCAAACCGGUUUAAGCCAGGUUGG